UAAUGUCCCUUUCUGUAUCAUAUAUCCUACCUUUUUCUCAGCUGACUUGGUUGGAUCUUGGGGUUCAGAUACACACGUAGGAGAUAGCAGAGUACAAAUUCGCCUCAUUACCAGAUUAAGUUUCGAUUAUGUCACAAUGCCAUGCUCUAGCUCAUUUUAUUGGCCGCUUAUGGUUCAUGAUUCAGCUACACUGUAUGUAACCUGGACGAGAUGUACAAACCAUCACCAAACUCACCUUUAAUGUUUGAUCUCUGAACUUUGUAACUCUGUAAGGAGUUUAUAUCUCAGCGCUGCUGCCUUUGUAAAGAAAAAAACUAUUGUGCGCUUGCUGGGCCACGGUCCAAUCUAGAUGGUAGAGGUCCACCAGCCCACUCACGUUCUCUCCCCUUUCUUCCGCCGAUCCUCUGCCGGCGUCCCCUCCGCCGCCACCUGGUCUCCCCGACUCCGGCACUUCCUCCCCAGGAACAUCCUCCCAUCCAGCCCCUACUUUCCGGCCAAGUGAUAAUUGGAGCCGCGACGCCUUCUAACUCGUGCAUGUCCAAGGCGGUGCGGCGCGUCUAUCUUCUCGCUGGUGACGGGGGCGCCAGCGGCGACGCGAGACACGCGCCGUCGUCCGUGUCUCGUUGCGAGGAUGAAGUUUUCCGGAGGCCUCACUGCCAAUGGAGUGUCUAGUACUGCACCAUAUAUACUCGGCCAUGGAGAACGUAGUUCUGCUGUAGAUGCAUUUUGCAGUUGACAGCCAGCAGAACACUACUCUAAACCUGACCAAGUCUGCUAUGGAUGCAUUACUGGUUCGUUCAGGUAAGUGAGCUAGAUACUCAGCGUGUAGGAGAUUGUUUUAGUUAUCUAGGGUCAUACACGGUCGAGGUUCUAAUUUCUGGAUAAUGUUUAGAUUGCGACGAAUUUGUAUCUGUGAACACUGCUACCUGUCUGGCUCACAUAUAUGUGUAUCUGUUUCCAGAUAGUUUGUGCUUUAAUCAUGUGCAGUUCAGGUCUACUUGUGUGGCUGGAAUGAGCAAGUGUAUGUGAUAAUUAACCUACUAAGUGAUGAUAUGUGUAUGGACUAUGGCAAAGCCAGACAAAUUCAUCAUUUGAUUUACCAUGACUACGAUGGGCCUGAAGAACACAUCUACUCCUUGCCGCCUCCACUGGCAUCUUGCUGCUAGUGGACGCCGGCCGCACUUGAUACUCCUUGGAACGAUGGUGUCGGGGCCAACUCUAGGACCACCGACGUGUGGGAUGCAGGAGGAUGAUCGAGUGUCACCCGUCGAGGUGGUUUUGGACUGCACCAAGAAUUGGUUCCAGGACACUCUCAAGGAGGUGUGUGUGCCGGUGACACUGCUAUGCAAGUGCUCGUCAGCCUGACGUGUGCAGUAGCGGCUACGAUGUCAACAAGAGCAACCACAAGCUCAUUCUUAAAUGCACGUCACCAAACAUGCACCUGGCUUCAUCAAAUAUGCUCCUUCAGUAUCUUUGAAGAGUUAUAAUUUAUACUGGACGUGUGUGUCUGUUCCUUGGCGGUGAAAUUACUCGGUGGGAUGUAACCUGGACAGUUCAGGGGAGUAAGCUCCAUCUAAGAGAGGACUGUAUGGUGUUGAUUGUAACACCUAAAUGUUCAGAAACGUGGAAGCCAGUAGUAGCAGAAUUUACUUGGUCGCGUUGAAGUUUUGCCAUAAGACAGCACUAAUGUGUGCGAUCUGUAUAAUAUACAAUUGGAUAAUGUUUUGGCUGUUUUGGCAACCAAUUACUUACAUUAGCGGUCGAAAAAGUAUGUGUUUUGUAGGCUUGUGUUCUCACGCACGGUUGUAGGCCCGUGGCCAUGACUACUCCCCCCUACACCUCUGCUCUUGGUCCCAUGCGGUGAAGGUUAAGCCAGAGUGAUGUUCAUUCAUAAAUAUAUUUGCAUGCGCAAUGGAAAUGAAGCACUAUUUUUUGGGAUGUGGAGGAAAUGAAGACUUGUAAAGAGAUAUAAGGUCCUUUGGUAUCUGAGAGCAUGGGGUGUCCGCGAUGUGCAUCCUUUGGUUGCCGAAAGCAUGGGGCAGCCAUUGAUGCCCUGAUAGAGCGAGGAGGCAGCCAGGUCUUUGGUUUAGGUGGGCCAAUGUAUUCGCCGCUUCCAUGCACCGGAUGUAUCACUAAUUAUGGUGGCGGAGCUCGAGAUAGAUGAGAAAAUAUCGGUCAAUUGACUCAAACCCUCUCUUAACUCGGAUGGCCAUGGACAAUGAAGGCAGACUCCUCAUCAGCCCCUGCUCCUCAUUGUUUCUUACAUGGAUUCCUCCGUAGUUGCUUCUUUUGAUGUGGAUGGUAUCAACAAUGGUGCAUGCUGCAAGGAAUUUGUGCCACUUUUUUGUGUGAGUGGCCUGAUGAUGUUGUCCGGAUGCAUUUCAAGGGCAAUGUGCAUGCCCUGGCCAGAUACCUGUAUUGUGUAUGGAAACAGUAUCGUGGAUCCAUAUUAUGGGUAUUUUACUUUGAAGCCUGUGAAUCUGUGAGCUCUUUGAAGGGCUUCUCCCGAAUGACAUCGACAUCUAUGCAACAAUUGCUUUAACGCAGAGUACAGAAGUUGAGGUUGUUAUUGCCUUGGCGAGUACCCGAGCCCUCCUUCGGAAGACAGACACCUGCUUGGAUGACUUGCACAUUAUUUUCUUGGAUGGAAGACAUGUACUUUAUUCUUCAUAUCUGUUGGCGGGUCUUGCUGUGUUUUACUUCAUUUAGUUUUCACAUGGUCAAAUCAUGGGGGAUUCCAGAAUUGUCAUCGAUGGUAUGUAUUUGCAAUGCGGGACAAGGUUUUUCAUCAUCAGGUAUUUUCUAGCUAAAAUCAAUUUUGUAGCUAAAAUCGAUUUUCUAGCUAAUAUAUGUCAUGUAGUCCUUUGAGAAUCUCCUGUUGCUAAAAUCGAUCUUCUAGCUGUCAAAUUUGUGUUUUUGCGUUGUCAUAUAUUUAUGCAAAUCGUUUAUGUAGUGUUUGUUCAGCACUAAGAAUCUUAGGCACCCAUAUUUGUCACUGAACAUCUUACUCAUUCUUUUACAUCCCGCGGGGUUUAAUUCUUUUGAUGUGGAUGAUAUUACCAAUGGUACAUGUUGGCAUCCUACAAGGAGUUUAUUGUGACCGGCGUAAUGAGGUUCUCAUGAGGCAUUUCAAUUGCAAUAGUGAUGCCAUGGUGUCUGUUCAAGACUACAUGCAGGUGGUGCAGGUCCUCCUCUUCAAGGACCCCAGCUGUGUUCAUUUGGGUGCUUGCUGUUGCGACUUCGUAGAUGCCAGGUGGGUCACCAAGGCGUCUGUGAAGAAGAUAACUAGGUGCUCAGAGCUGUCAUGGAGACCAAGUGUGUGCAGCUCCCAGUAGCAUACAGGCUGCACUAUAUAUUGUGUUCACUAUGUAAAUAUUUUAGCUAGGUCAUAGAAUUCCCUAGCUUUCCAUGCAAACUAUGGCGACCGCCAGAGAAAUAUUUUACCAUUUUGCUGAGAUGUGUUUGCUAGAGCAGUAGGUAAGCAACAUUAUUCUAUUACAAGUUCUGAUA